UACGUAGGGUCCGAGCGUUGUCCGGAAUUAUUGGGCGUAAAGGGCUCGUAGGCGGUUUGUCACGUCGGGAGUGAAAUCUUACAGCUUAACUGUGAACUUGCUUUCGAUACGGGCAGACUUGAGGCAUUCAGGGGAGAACGGAAUUCCGUGGUGUAGCGGUGAAAUGCGCAGAUAUCAGGAGGAACACCGGUGGCGAAGGCGGUUCUCUGGGCAGUAACUGACGCUGAGGAGCGAAAGCGUGGGGAGCGAACAGG
rnacentral:rRNA from 1 species